rnacentral:rRNA from 1 species
UACGGAGGGUGCAAGCGUUAUCCGGAUUCACUGGGUUUAAAGGGGGCGUAGGUGGGCUGGUAAGUCAGUGGUGAAAUCUCCAGGCUUAACUUGGAAACUGCCAUUGAUACUAUUAGUCUUGAAUACCGUGGAGGUCAGCGGAAUAUGUCAUGUAGCGGUGAAAUGCUUAGAUAUGACAUAGAACACCAAUUGCGAAGGCAGCUGGCUACACGAAUAUUGACACUGAUGCACGAAAGCGUGGGGAUCAAACAGG